CAGAAAAUAUAUGUGUAAUAACUGAGAUAACAGGAAUAUGUAGUACAAACCAAGAACUAGAGGAAACCACAGAAGGCUUUGGGUAGUGUGGUUUUUGAAAGCAGUAUUGCAUGUAGAUUAAUGGAGAACAGAAGGAAUGACAUCCUUUUCAAGGGGCAUUGUAUGAACAAGGAGACAGGAGCAAGAAUGAGAAUGAGAAAGAGGUGCAAGAGGAUCUAAGAGGACCCAGCUAGAGAGAAACUCUGAGAGAGAAUCUGGUUCAGGAAGACCUGUGGCUGUGUCAGUGCAGGGGAAAAGGAACACUAGAAGGAUCCAGGUGGAAAUGACAUAGAAGAUAAUGACACUCCCAUGAAGUGGUGAAGCUAUAGCCACCACCUGUCCCUGUUGAUUAAAGAGCUCCACCUGCCUAGGCACAGCAUCCUCAGCUAGGAUUGGGGGUAGGCCACUGGGUUAGGACAAAACUUUGCAGGACUGACAUGUUAUAGGCCCCCAUGUAGUAUAUACUAGAUGUGCUGCAACAGGAACCCAGAAUCCACCUGCACCCACCUCAAUAUGGAUAGCACGUGUUGCCAACAUCUGCUUUGGCUCUUUCUUCAGCUGUUUUCACGUGUUUUCUCUUUGUAAAAAUGUUUUCCACCUAGCAGUGGACUACUCUUCCAGAUUUCCACCUUUUCACCUCCCUCCUGCCUCUAUAAACUUAGGACACCAACAUUGUAAGUUACUAGGCUUCUAAAUGUAAUGCAUAUGAGAAUCACCUGGGAGCUCUUUUUGAAAUGCAGACUCUAGAGCCCACCCUCAAGAGAUUGUAAUUUAAUGAAUCUAGGAAUGGGACUCAGGAAUCUGCACUGAACAGGCAUCCCAGCUGACUCUGGUGUGGGUGGUUCCCAGCCCAACUUACCAGAGCACUGCUAAGUUGAACCUAGCAGCAUAAUUAAUCCAUGCUAAAACCAAACUCAUAAAUUAACAUUUAUCAAGAAGCCUUUGAGAGCUUGGUUCUAUGAUUAUGUAUGAGUCUUAGGGCUCAUUUUUCCUAGGGCAUAAACUGAUACUAAGUCACACUGGGAGAGCCUAUGAUCCGUGUAUAUUUCUGGCAGGGCAGAAUUUUCUCUAUAUUGACAGGCACAGCAACAUUGAUUGUAUAACAUUACUCCACCCUGGAAUUUACUAUUAGUCAUAAAAACUGAGGCAACUCCAGUAUUGCUGGUUCAUUUGAUGAGUAUUCAGUGUGGGUAGGCCUCUACAACAACUUCUUUCUCCCCUAAAGGGCAAAAACGCAACUCAACUCACAAUCCAGGCUACUGAGCAGAGGUUUGAAUGACCCCUGAGCCCAUACAAGCUUCUCUACAUUGUUCUGAGAGCACCCAAAAGCCACUGGGAUUGUUGAGACCACUGGUUUCUUUGUCCUGAAGAGAAGAGAGAGGGAAAUGAUUGCUGCUACACUCACUUUGAAGUGAGAAAAGUUGCGGGUGGCUGAAAAUUUUACUCUGAAAAGAUGCUGGGUAGCUCUUUGUUCCUACAGCCCUGCAAACUAUGCUCCUGAUACAGAGUGGGGCAAGUGGGGCGGGAAAGUGCUGGGAAGGGAAAGGCGUAGUCCCUCGCUGGGGAUCCAGCCCCAGACCUGUGCCCACAGACCUUGGUGAGGAUGGGCAUUUCUGUUCUCAUGCCCAAAUAUUGCAUUUCCCACGACCACCCUGGGCUGCCAUACCCCUAUCUUGUGCCUAUAAAAACUCCAAGAUCCUAGCGGGCACACACACAAGCAGCUGGACAUCAAGAGGAACACACCAAUGGUUGAGGACACAAGCGGCUGGAAAUUGAGAGGAACACACCCGCGUAAGAGCACACCCACAGGCACUGACAGAUUUCGGCAGGCCAUCGACUGGUGGAACAAUGCAGAGUUUGGCUGGGGUGGUCGGAGAAGAGCCCAGCUGCCCGGAAGCCCGAUUGCAGGGGAAAACCACCUUCCCACUCCAGCCCCCUUCUGGCCUUCCCAUCUACCUCGCUGAGAGCUACCACUCAAU
rnacentral:lncRNA from 1 species